CACCGCACAACCACCGCUGCCGGUAUUUGCCCCGGGCGCCUGGCAACUCUGACGCCCCGCUGCGCGGUCCAACCCCUUCUCCGACGCCUGGGGACGUGGACCUGGCCGAGGGAAGGGAGAGGGUACCGGUCCUUGGUGUAAUCACGUUUUACUCUGCUGGGAAGGCGUGUUCAUCUUCCCACCGAAACGCGCCAUAGACUGGAUCAGGCGUUUUUUGCUCAUCAUCGUUUCAAAAAACGUUUACUGAAGGAAAGAAAGGAAGAAGGCAGGAGGAGCGAUAAAGAGAUAGCAAGAGAAAGAGGAUGGAAAGUGGGGAAAAUGAAUAGAUUUCUAAAGGUUGGGAAAGCCUUUUAGCAGGGAGAUGUUUUCCUGGAGGUCUUGGAACUCUCUUGGUCUCACAGCCUCUGUAAACCGAGGGCUGCACACCUGUCUCUAGUCCCCAGCUGAUUUCCAGAGGCCCUUCCAGCUCCUGUGUUGAUUCUUCUGCCUCGACUCACUUCUAGCAGACAAGUACCAUCCAGCUGACCCUGGUAGGCACGUGGCCACAUAAUACGGAUUGCACGAGGGAAUCCAGAGGAAUUCUCACACACAAGGCAAGACGUAUGAGGAUGUUGCUGCAGCAUCGUUACUAGUGUUGGAAAUAAGAUGUUCCCCCUUUCUCCUUCUGAUAUGAGAAGAUACUUGUUAGCCCUCAAGCUGCUCAGAUGAGGGACUUUCCUGCCGAGAACCAACGUGAAGAGUGCAGCUUCUAUAAAGGAUUUCACUGGAUUUUUGUACUAAUGAACAAAUUUUAUUUGGAUGAGUAGAUAUUUAAUGUGCUGUUAUUACCACUGGAGUUAAAAGUAUAUUAUAAAUUCUUAUGUCUUUAAAACUAGAGAGAGGAUUCUGGGAAGAUGGCAGAGUAGAAAGCACCAGGAAUCCGACUUCCCACCUAAACAACUGUUCUAGCAGCAUCUGUCUGACACAACUAUUUUAAAACUUUGGGGUCUAUUGAAAGCUAGCAACUUCUAGGGGAAAAGUUGUACAGUAAGCUGCAGUUAAUUUCAGUGAAUUUCAGCACAGUAAUAGCCAAUAGUAGCCAAACCCUACUCCUCAGCCCUGUGUCAGGCAGCUGUGUAUGUGUUCCUGGACCAGUUUGCACACAACUUGCUGGAAUCAAGGUUGAAAAAAAAAAACUGUCCUCCAAAUAUUAGGGCUCUGAUUGCUGAUUGUUGCUUUACAAAGGUGCAGAAGAAGAAAUGACAGCCAUUGUUUUGUUGUUGCACCUUCCCCCCCAUUGUGGCAAACUCCACCUCCUCUGGCUGAAGCACCUUCCAGGGGAUUUAAACGAUGAGCCUUUUUCUGCCCUUCAUUUUUCUCUUUUUCUCCAUUUUUGGAAGCCAGACAUUGAAGGCUAUGACAUUCAAAACAACUGUAUAUACACUUGUUACAGAAGAUAUUAGAAAGUCACUGUGCGUGCCCAGGGACAGGCUUAGAAAAGACCCAAGAAGACUGUAAGCUUAUAUUUCAGGCUAAUCCUCAGCACAGAGACAGCCUAUAACAAUAAAAAACAAAAAGCUAGUAAACCCUGGGGAAGGAAAAUAAUCUGAUUUUCAGAAUUACCAGAUUAUUAGAUUCAAAAGUCUAGUUUUCAACAACAACAACAACAAAAACAAAAACACAAGAGAUACAAAGAAACAAGCAAAUAUGGCCCAUUCAAAGGAAAAAAUAAACCAACAGAAACUGUCCUUGAAAAGGAUCUGAUGGAGGAUCUAUUAGACAAAGACUUUAAAACAACUGUCUUAAAGUUACCCAAAGAACUAAAGGAAGAUGUGGAAAAUGUCAAGAAAAUGAUGUAUGAACAUAAUGGAAAUAUCAAUAAAGAGAGAGAAAACCUAAAAAGAAACCAAAAAGAAAUUGGUUUCCAGAAAUUUUCUGGAACUAAAAAGUACAAUAGCUGAAAGUUAAAAAAACUUGCUAGAGAGAUUCAAUGGCAGAUUUGAGCAAGCACAAGAAUCAACAAACUUGAAGAAAGGACAAGGAAAAUUAUUGAAUCUGAGGAAUAUAAAGAAAAAAAUUGAAGAAAACAGAGCCUAAAGGACCUGUAGGACAUCGUCAAACAGCCCCACACAGGCUUUAUGGGGAGUCCUUGAGGACAAGUAAGAGAAAGGGGCAAAGAGAUUAUUCAAAGAAAUUAUGACCAAAAACUUGCCAAAUUUAAUGAAAGACAUGAAUAUAAAUAUCCAAAAAGCUCAAUGAACUCCAAGUAGGAUAAAUUCAAAGACACACCAAAAGUAUUACCAUCAAACUAUUAAAAGCUGGAGACAGAAAAUUUUGAAAGCCGCAAGAGAGAAGUGAUCAUCACAUAUAAGGAAUCCUCAAUAAGAUUAUCUGCAGAUUUCUCAUCAGAAACUUCAGAGGCCAGAAAGCAGUAGGCUGAUAUAAAGUGCUAAAAGAAAGAAACUAUCAACUAAGAAUCCUAUAUCCAGCAAAUCUUCACUUCAAAAGCUGGAGGAUUCACACUUCUUUGUUUCAAAACUUACCACAAAGUUACAGCGAUCAAAACAGUGUGGUACUGGCACAAAGACAGACAUAUAGACCAAUGGAAUAGAACACAGUCCAGAAAAAAACCCUCUUAGCACAAGGGUGCUAAGAUUAUCCAAUGGGGAAAAGAUGAUCUUUUUGACAAAUGGUGCUGGGAAAAUUGCCACAUACAAAAGAAUACAGUUGGACCCUUACCUGAUACCAUUUACAUUAAAUUAAUGCAGACUAGAUCCAUAACCUAAUGUAAGAACUAAAACUAUAAAACUCAUAGGAGAAAGCAUAGGGCAAAAGUUCACAACAUUAGAAUGGGCAAUAAUUUCUUGGAUAUAACAUCACAAGUACAGGCAACAACAACAACAAAAGAACACAAAUUGGAUUGUAUUAC
rnacentral:lncRNA from 1 species